AACAGACAUUAGGAAAAAAAUUGUUUCACAUACAAAUGCUUGCUUAAAUAUGAAUUAAUGUUUAUGUUUAUAUUCUUUUUACAGCCGACGCUGAUCAUGUGACCACCAGUUCCAACUCCAACUCUGCGAGCAGCAGCAGCGCAAGAGCGUCUCUCCACGCACAAAUGGGCAUUCAUGAUGCCGAUACAGUAUCAGUAGGAGGCAGUCCAGCCAUGGGUGCCGACAUGGGACUGUCUGGUCUGGCAGGGCUCGGGGGUUCGACCGGUGUAGGGGGAAAC